rnacentral:rRNA from 1 species
GACGAACGCUGGCGGCGUGCCUAAUACAUGCAAGUAGAACGCUGAAGGAGGAGCUUGCUUCUCUGGAUGAGUUGCGAACGGGUGAGUAACGCGUAGGUAACCUGCCUGGUAGCGGGGGAUAACUAUUGGAAACGAUAGCUAAUACCGCAUAAUAGUAGAUGUUGCAUGACAUUUACUUAAAAGGUGCAAUUGCAUCACUACCAGAUGGACCUGCGUUGUAUUAGCUAGUUGGUGGGGUAACGGCUCACCAAGGCGACGAUACAUAGCCGACCUGAGAGGGUGAUCGGCCACACUGGGACUGAGACACGGCCCAGACUCCUACGGGAGGCAGCAGUAGGGAAUCUUCGGCAAUGGACGGAAGUCUGACCGAGCAACGCCGCGUGAGUGAAGAAGGUUUUCGGAUCGUAAAGCUCUGUUGUAAGAGAAGAACGAGUGUGAGAGUGGAAAGUUCACACUGUGACGGUAUCUUACCAGA